UGGAUCCAGACUUUGAUUAUGGCUCAGGACGAACGCUGGCGGCGCGCCUAACACAUGCAAGUCGAACGAGCGAGAGAGAGCUUGCUUUCUCGAGCGAGUGGCGAACGGGUGAGUAACGCGUGAGGAACCUGCCUCAAAGAGGGGGACAACGGUUGGAAACGACUGCUAAUACCGCAUAAGCCCACGGCUCGGCAUCGAGCAGAGGGAAAAGGAGCAAUCCGCUUUGAGAUGGCCUCGCGUCCGAUUAGCUAGUUGGUGAGGUAACGGCCCACCAAGGCAACGAUCGGUAGCCGGACUGAGAGGUUGAACGGCCACAUUGGGACUGAGACACGGCCCAGACUCCUACGGGAGGCAGCAGUGGGGAAUAUUGCACAAUGGGGGAAACCCUGAUGCAGCGACGCCGCGUGGAGGAAGAAGGUCUUCGGAUUGUAAACUCCUGCUGUUGGGGAAGAUAAUGACGGUACCCAACAAGGAAGUGACGGCUAACUACGUGCCAGCAGCCGCGGUAAAACGUAGGUCACAAGCGUUGUCCGGAAUUACUGGGUGUAAAGGGAGCGCAGGCGGGAAGACAAGUUGGAAGUGAAAUCUAUGGGCUCAACCCAUAAACUGCUUUCAAAACUGUUUUUCUUGAGUAGUGCAGAGGUAGGCGGAAUUCCCGGUGUAGCGGUGGAAUGCGUAGAUAUCGGGAGGAACACCAGUGGCGAAGGCGGCCUACUGGGCACCAACUGACGCUGAGGCUCGAAAGUGUGGGUAGCAAACAGGAUUAGAUACCCUGGUAGUCCACACCGUAAACGAUGAUUACUAGGUGUUGGAGGAUUGACCCCUUCAGUGCCGCAGUUAACACAAUAAGUAAUCCACCUGGGGAGUACGACCGCAAGGUUGCAACUCAAAUGAAUUGACGGA
rnacentral:rRNA from 1 species